GUAGUACUCCCUCCGUUUGGAAUUACUUGUCACAAAAAUGGAUGUAUCUACAACUAAAAUACAUCUAGAUACAUUCAUUUCUUGGACGAGUAAUUCCGAACAGAGGGAGUAUGUA
rnacentral:pre_miRNA from 1 species